rnacentral:misc_RNA from 1 species
GUAUUAUGCGUUACGAAUAACAUGUUACAUCCAAAGACUGACGUGUGUAAAAGCAGGUGCCGAAGCGCCUGAAAGGUGCACAGGUGUGAGAAUCACUUUGCUGGCGACGUGCGAGACGCACAGUCGAAGCGCAGAGAAGACCCCGCGAGGGGGUUUACUUUAAUGAUCCUUCCGCAGGUUCACCUACGGAAA